GACGUAGGGCGCGAGCGUUGUCCGGAUUUAUUGGGCGUAAAGAGCUCGUAGGCGGCUUGUCGCGUCGACUGUGAAAACCCGCGGCUCAACUGCGGGCUUGCAGCCGAUACGGGCAGGCGUAGAGUUCGGUAGGGGAGACUGGAAUUCCUGGUGUAGCGGUGAAAUGCGCAGAUAGUCAGGAGGAACACCGGUGGCGAAGGCGGGUCUCUGGGCCGAUACUGACGC
rnacentral:rRNA from 1 species